AGAGUUUGAUCCUGGCUCAGAACGAACGCUGGCGGCGUGCCUGAGACAUGCAAGUCGUGGGAGAAAGUCGGAGCAAUCCGGCUAGUAAACCGGCGCACGGGUGAGUAACACGUGGGCAACCUGCCUUGGAGACCGGGAUAACCCGUCGAAAGACGGGCUAAUACCGGAUAAGACCCCGGAUAGUUCGCUAUCUGAGGUAAAAGGUGGCCUCUGCUCCUGCAAGCUAUUACUUCAAGAGGGGCCCGCGGCCUAUCAGCUAGUUGGUGAGGUAACGGCCCACCAAGGCUUAGACGGGUAGCUGGUCUGAGAGGAUGGUCAGCCACACUGGGACUGAGACACGGCCCAGAGUCCUACGGGAUGCAGCAGUCAGGAAUAUUGCGCAAUGGAGGAAACUCUGACGCAGCGACGCCGCGUGGGUGAUGAAGGCCUUCGGGUCGUAAAGCCCUGUCGGAGGGGAAGAAAAGCCUGUUGGCUAAUAUCCAGCGGGCCUUUGACGGUACCCUCAAAGGAAGCACCGGCUAACUCCGUGCCAGCAGCCGCGGUAAGACGGAGGGUGCAAGCGUUGUUCGGAUUGACUGGGCGUAAAGGGCGUGUAGGCGGUUGGUCAAGUCUGGUGUGAAAGCCCGGGGCUUAACCCCGGAAGUGCAUUGGAAACUAGCCAGCUGGAGCGCGAGAGAGGAGGGUGGAAUUCCUGGUGUAGCGGUGAAAUGCGUAGAUAUCAGGAGGAACACCGGCGGCGAAGGCGGCCCUCUGGCUCGUUGCUGACGCUGAAACGCGAAAGCGUGGGGAGCAAACAGGAUUAGAUACCCUAGUAGUCC
rnacentral:rRNA from 1 species